rnacentral:rRNA from 1 species
GACGAACGCCGGCGGCGUGCCUAAUACAUGCCAGUAGAACGCACAGUUUAUACCGUAGCUUGCUACACCAUAAACUGUGAGUUGCGAACGGGUGAGUAACGCGUAGGUAACCUGCCUGGUAGCGGGGGAUAACUAUUGGAAACGAUAGCUAAUACCGCAUAAUAUUAAUUAUUGCAUGAUAAUUGAUUGAAAGAUGCAAUUGCAUCACUACCAGAUGGACCUGCGUUGUAUUAGCUAGUAGGUGAGGUAACGGCUCACCUAGGCGACGAUACAUAGCCGACCUGAGAGGGUGAUCGGCCACACUGGGACUGAGACACGGCCCAGACUCCUACGGGAGGCAGCAGUAGGGAAUCUUCGGCAAUGGACGAAAGUCUGACCGAGCAACGCCGCGUGAGUGAAGAAGGUUUUCGGAUCGUAAAGCUCUGUUGUAAGAGAAGAACGGGUGUGAGAGUGGAAAGUUCACACUGUGACGGUAUCUUACCAGAAAGGGACGGCUAACUACGUG